rnacentral:rRNA from 1 species
UACCAGCACCCCGAGUGGUCGGGACGUUUUAUUGGGCCUAAAGCAUCCGUAGCCGGUUCUACAAGUCUUCCGUUAAAUCCACCUGCUUAACAGAUGGCUGCGGAAGAUACUAUAGAGCUAGGAGGCGGGAGAGGCAAGCGGUACUCGAUGGGUAGGGGUAAAAUCCGUUGAUCCAUUGAAGACCACCAGUGGCGAAGGCGGCUUGCCAGAACGCGCUCGACGGUGAGGGAUGAAAGCUGGGGAGCAAACCGG